AACGAACGCUGGCGGCAUGCCUAACACAUGCAAGUCGAACGAGACCUUCGGGUCUAGUGGCGCACGGGUGCGUAACGCGUGGGAACCUGCCCUUAGGUUCGGAAUAACUCCCCGAAAGGGGUGCUAAUACCGGAUAAUGUCUUCGGACCAAAGAUUUAUCGCCUUUGGAUGGGCCCGCGUUGGAUUAGCUAGUUGGUAGGGUAAAAGCCUACCAAGGCGACGAUCCAUAGCUGGUCUGAGAGGAUGAUCAGCCACACUGGGACUGAGACACGGCCCAGUCUCCUACGGGAGGCAGCAGUGGGGAAUAUUGGACAAUGGGCGAAAGCCUGAUCCAGCAAUGCCGCGUGAGUGAUGAAGGCCUUAGGGUUGUAAAGCUCUUUUACCCGGGAUGAUAAUGACAGUACCGGGAGAAUAAGCUCCGGCUAACUCCGU
rnacentral:rRNA from 1 species